GACUAGAUGAAUAUUAAGAGGACUCUUCCAACUACAUAAUAAUAUAUCCUGGUCAGCAAAGUUGUUUCUUUAUUUGUGUUUGUUGUGUUAGUUAAUAAUUUCAAUUUCAUUAAGAAAAACAAACUAAAUAAAUGGAAAAAAUUGAUAGAAUUCCUUUUAUUUUUUCUUCAAAUCCAAAAAAUUUCUCUUUUUUUAUACAUAGGUCGUCAAUUUGGCAUUGGAAAAAGGGUUGUGUGCCCUUCUAGUAAAUAGUUCAAACUAUUUUAUUGAUAUGAGUGUUCUAUAUCAGAUAAAUUCUACACUAGCUAUUUCCCGUUUAAAGCAUUUCGAGACUAAUACUAAUGUAGUUGUAGAAAGAGUACCCUUUUUGCCUAGACUUCAAACAGUUUAGCUUUAACCAUGUUAAUGGUCUCACAUUAUUGGUCUAUAGAGAAUCAAAGUAAAUUUACCAAUGAAUCGCGAAAUGCUAUGGUUCUUCCAUAUGAUUUCUGAAGUUAUUCAGAAGUAAUUCGUCGAGAUCGUUCACCUUUUCUUAUUUAUAAAAAAAUACUAAAAAUAUUCUAAAGUGCAGCUCGAAAUAUCUAAUCUAUUCUUGAAAUAGACAACUCGCACACACUCCCUUU
rnacentral:lncRNA from 7 species